rnacentral:rRNA from 1 species
CCUACGGGUGGCAGCAGUGAGGAAUAUUGGUCAAUGGGCGAGAGCCUGAACCAGCCAAGUCGCGUGAGGGAGUACUGCCCUAUGGGUUGUAAACCUCUUUUGUCGGGGAGCAAAAGCCGGACGUGUCCGGCUGUGAGAGUACCCGAAGAAAAAGCAUCGGCUAACUCCGUGCCAGCAGCCGCGGUAAUACGGAGGAUGCGAGCGUUAUCCGGAUUUAUUGGGUUUAAAGGGUGCGCAGGCGGAGUUUUAAGUCAGCGGUAAAAUCGUGGGGCUCAACCCCAUCCAGCCGUUGAAACUGGGGAUCUAGAGUGUGCGAGAGGUAUGCGGAAUGCGUGGUGUAGCGGUGAAAUGCAUAGAUAUCACGCAGAACCCCGAUUGUGAAGGCAGCAUACCGGUGCACAACUGACGCUCAGGCACGAAAGCGUGGGUAUCGAACAGGAUUAGAUACCCUUGUAGUC